AUUGAACGCUGGCGGCAGGCCUAACACAUGCAAGUCGAGCGGAUGAAGGGAGCUUGCUCCUGGAUUCAGCGGCGGACGGGUGAGUAAUGCCUAGGAAUCUGCCUGGUAGUGGGGGAUAACGUCCGGAAACGGGCGCUAAUACCGCAUACGUCCUGCGGGAGCAAGUGGGGGAUCUUCGGACCUCACGCUCUCAGAUGAGCCUAGGUCGGAUUAGCUAGUUGGUGGGGUAAAGGCCUACCAAGGCGACGAUCCGUAACUGGUCUGAGAGGAUGAUCAGUCACACUGGAACUGAGACACGGUCCAGACUCCUACGGGAGGCAGCAGUGGGGAAUAUUGGACAAUGGGCGAAAGCCUGAUCCAGCCAUGCCGCGUGUGUGAAGAAGGUCUUCGGAUUGUAAAGCACUUUAAGUGGGGAGGAAGGGUAGUAAGUUAAUACCUUGCUGUUUUGACGUUACCAACAGAAUAAGCACCGGCUAACUUCGUG
rnacentral:rRNA from 1 species